AGAGUUUGAUCCUGGCUCAGGAUGAACGCUAGCGGGAGGCCUAACACUAUGCAAGCCGAGUCGGUAUUGUUUACUUCGGAAAUGAGAGAGCGGCGUACGGGUGCGGAACACGUGUCGCAACCUGCCUUUAUCUGGGGGAUAGCCUUUCGAAAGGAAGAUUAAUACUCCAUAAUAUAUUGAACGGCAUCGUUUAAUAUUGAAAGCUCCGGCGGAUAGAGAUGGGCACGCGCAAGAUUAGCUAGUUGGUGAGGUAACGGCUCACCAAGGCAAUGAUCUUUAGGGGGCCUGAGAGGGUGACCCCCCACACUGGUACUGAGACACGGACCAGACUCCUACGGGAGGCAGCAGUGAGGAAUAUUGGUCAAUGGGUGCAAGCCUGAACCAGCCAUCCCGCGUGAAGGACGACUGCCCUAUGGGUUGUAAACUUCUUUUGUAUAGGGAUAAACCUUUCCACGUGUGGAAAGCUGAAGGUACUAUACGAAUAAGCACCGGCUAACUCCGUG
rnacentral:rRNA from 1 species